rnacentral:rRNA from 1 species
CCUUUUGUAUAAUGGGUCAGCGACUUAUAUUCUGUAGCAAGGUUAACCGAAUAGGGGAGCCGAAGGGAAACCGAGUCUUAACUGGGCGUUAAGUUGCAGGGUAUAGACCCGAAACCCGGUGAUCUAGCCAUGGGCAGGUUGAAGGUUGGGUAACACUAACUGGAGGACCGAACCGACUAAUGUUGAAAAAUUAGCGGAUGACUUGUGGCUGGGGGUGAAAGGCCAAUCAAACCGGGAGAUAGCUGGUUCUCCCCGAAAGCUAUUUAGGUAGCGCCUCGUGAAUUCAUCUCCGGGGGUAGAGCACUGUUUCGGCAAGGGGGUCAUCCCGACUUACCAACCCGAUGCAAACUGCGAAUACCGGAGAAUGUUAUCACGGGAGACACACGGCGGGUGCUAACGUCCGUCGUGAAGAGGGAAACAACCCAGACCGCCAGCUAAGGUCCCAAAGUCAUGGUUAAGUGGGAAACGAUGUGGGAAGGCCCAGACAGCCAGGAUGUUGGCUUAGAAGCAGCCAUCAUUUAAAGAAAGCGUAAUAGCUCACUGGUCGAGUCGGCCUGCGCGGAAGAUGUAACGGGGCUAAACCAUGCACCGAAGCUGCGGCAGCGACACUAUGUGUUGUUGGGUAGGGGAGCGUUCUGUAAGCCUGUGAAGGUGUACUGUGAGGUAUGCUGGAGGUAUCAGAAGUGCGAAUGCUGACAUAAGUAACGAUAAAGCGGGUGAAAAGCCCGCUCGCCGGAAGACCAAGGGUUCCUGUCCAACGUUAAUCGGGGCAGGGUGAGUCGACCCCUAAGGCGAGGCCGAAAGGCGUAGUCGAUGGGAAACAGGUUAAUAUUCCUGUACUUGGUGUUACUGCGAAGGGGGGACGGAGAAGGCUAUGUUGGCCGGGCGACGGUUGUCCCGGUUUAAGCGUGUAGGCUGGUUUUCCAGGCAAAUCCGGAAAAUCAAGGCUGAGGCGUGAUGACGAGGCACUACGGUGCUGAAGCAACAAAUGCCCUGCUUCCAGGAAAAGCCUCUAAGCAUCAGGUAACAUCAAAUCGUACCCCAAACCGACACAGGUGGUCAGGUAGAGAAUACCAAGGCGCUUGAGAGAACUCGGGUGAAGGAACUAGGCAAAAUGGUGCCGUAACUUCGGGAGAA